GUUUGGCUUCGGCCGCCCCUCAACUCCUCUCCUUCCCCCCCCUCCGCCUCCUCGUCUCCCUCCCGCUCCUGGGAAAGCGGAUCCGUCGCUUUAAGGGUGGCUGAGAGAAGCGGCGUCUCGGGGAGGGGACCGCGCCCGCCCCCUUGGAACCACGGAGCGUGGCCGAUACAGAAAAGAAAAAAUGGAAAAAUCACAAGAGAGAGAGAGGAGAGAGAAAAGAGUAUUCCUGAAAUCUGUUGCUUAAAGCUGCAAGACUACCAGUCGUCAAAAGCAUCAGAGUUCUUGAGAAGGAUAAGAUUUUACCUGAAUCAGUGAUUAAAGAAUAACAGAGACUUGCCAGAAGGCUGCAUGGACAGCCAUCCCCAAGGUUCUCCAUCCAUAGUAGCGGGCUGCAGAACAACUGCCUUCUUGCUGAUAGCAUGUGACCUGUGGAUUACAGACUAUAGGAAGACUCUCGCCUGCCAUUGGCUCAAGCAACGCGGGGAAAGUCGAUUCCACUGUCCUCUUGUCCAAGGUCUGGAGUACUUUGUAGCAGUUGAGGUGAAGGGCAGUGUUGCUCAGUGACUAUCGUUGUCACUGACUUGAGAUGAAAUUUCAUCAGUGCCCAUCAGUCUUCUUGGUGGAAGUGGGGUGGAGCCAGCAACUAGC
rnacentral:lncRNA from 1 species